UGAGGGAUAUUGCACAAUGGGGGAAACCCUGAUGCAGCAACGCCGCGUGAGUGAAGAAGUAUUUCGGUAUGUAAAGCUCUAUCAGCAGGGAAGAUAAUGACGGUACCUGACUAAGAAGCUCCGGCUAAAUACGUGACAGCAGCCGCGGUAAUACGUAUGGAGCAAGCGUUAUCCGGAUUUACUGGGUGUAAAGGGUGCGUAGGUGGCUGUGCAAGUCAGAUGUGAAAGCUCGGGGCUCAACCCCGGAACUGCAUUUGAAACUGCAUGGCUGGAGUCCGGGAGAGGCAGGCGGAAUUCCUAGUGUAGCGGUGAAAUGCGUAGAUAUUAGGAAGAACACCAGUGGCGAAGGCGGCCUGCUGGACCGGUACUGACACUGAGGCACGAAAGCGUGGGGAGCAAACAGG
rnacentral:rRNA from 2 species